rnacentral:rRNA from 1 species
AGUAAUCGCAGAUCAGCAUGCUGCGGUGAAUACGUUCCCGGGCCUUGUACACACCGCCCGUCACACCAUGGGAGUCGGUAACACCCAAAGUUGGUAGCCUAACCGCAAGGAGGGCGCCGCCUAAGGUGGGAUUGAUGACUGGGGUGAAGUCGUAACAAGGUACC